UCGGAGAUGCAGAGGUUAAUGUGUCGUAAAACACUUACUGUAAUAAAAGUUAAUAAAAUGUGUGUAGUGUAAAUACCUCACCGCAUCAACCA